rnacentral:rRNA from 1 species
AACGAACGCUGGCGGCAGGCCUAACACAUGCAAGUCGAGCGAGGACUUCGGUUCUAGCGGCGGACGUGUGAGUAACGCGUGGGAAUGUGCCCUUCUCUACGGAAUAGCCCUGGGAAACUGGGAGUAAUACCGUAUACGCCCUUUUGGGGUAAGAUUUCUCGGGGAAGGAUCAGCCCGCGUUGGAUUAGGUAGUUGGUGGGGUAAUGGCCUACCAAGCCGACGAUGCAUAGCUGGUUUGUGAGGAUGAUAAGCCACGCUGGAACUAAGACACGGCCCAGACUGCGACGGGAGGGAGCAGUGGGGAAUCUUAGACAAGGGGGGCAAACGUAAUAAAGCCAUGCGGGGGGAGUGAUGAAGGGGGUAGGGUUGUGAAGCUGUUUGAGCUGGGAAGAUAAUGACGGUACCAGGAGAAGAAGCCCCGGCUAACUCCGUG